UUCCGGUUGAUCCUGCCGGACCCGACUGCUAUUUGGGUGAGGAUAAGCCAUGCGAGUCGAAUGGGAUACCUAAAAUUCCCAUGGCAAACUGCUCAGUAACACAUGAUCAACUUACCCUAUAGAGAAAAAUAACCUCGGGAAACUGAGGAUAAUGUUUCAUAGUUGAAAAGGCUUGGAAAAGUUUUUCGACCAAAGGGAUAAGAAAAAUGGUUUUUAUCCGCUAUAGGAUAGGAUCGUGGUCGAUUAUGGUCGUUGGUGAGGUAAUGGCUCACCAAGCCGAUAAUCGAUAGGGGCCGUGAGAGCGGGAGCCCCGAGAUGGGUACUGAGACAGCGACCCAGGCCUUACGAGGCGCAGCAGGCGCGGAACCUCCGCAAUACACGAAAGUGUGACGGGGUUACCCAAAGUGUUCAAUUUUGAACUGUGGUAGGUGAGUAAUGUUCCCUACUAGAAAGGAGAGGGCAAGGCUGGUGCCAGCCGCCGCGGUAAAACCAGCUCUUCAAGUGGUCGGGAUAAUUAUUGGGCUUAAAGUGUCCGUAGCCGGUUUAGUAAGUUCCUGGUAAAAUCGGGUAGCUUAACUAUCUGUAUGCUAGGAAUACUGCUAUACUAGAGGACGGGAGAGGUCUGAGGUACUACAGGGGUAGGGGUGAAAUCUUAUAAUCCUUGUAGGACCACCAGUGGCGAAGGCGUCAGACUGGAACGUGCCUGACGGUGAGGGACGAAAGCCAGGGGAGCGAACCGGAUUAGAUACCCGGGUAGUCCUGGCCGUAAACGAUGCAUACUAGGUGAUGGCAUGGCCAUGAGCCGUGUCAGUGCCGUAGGGAAACCGUUAAGUGUGCCGCCUGGGAAGUACGGUCGCAAGGCUAAAACUUAAAGGAAUUGGCGGGGGAGCACCACAAGGGGUGAAGCCUGCGGUUCAAUUGGAUUCAACGCCGG
rnacentral:rRNA from 1 species